rnacentral:rRNA from 1 species
AGUGAACGCUGGCGGUAGGCCUAACACAUGCAAGUCGAACGGCAGCACAGUAAGAGCUUGCUCUUACGGGUGGCGAGUGGCGGACGGGUGAGGAAUACAUCGGAAUCUACUUUUUCGUGGGGGAUAACGUAGGGAAACUUACGCUAAUACCGCAUACGACCUACGGGUGAAAGCAGGGGAUCUUCGGACCUUGCGCGAUUGAAUGAGCCGAUGUCGGAUUAGCUAGUUGGCGGGGUAAAGGCCCACCAAGGCGACGAUCCGUAGCGGGUCUGAGAGGAUGAUCAGCCACACUGUAACUGAGACACGGUCCAGACUCCUACGGGAGGCAGCAGUGGGGAAUAUUGGACAAUGGGCGCAAGCCUGAUCCAGCCAUACCGCGUGGGUGAAGAAGGCCUUCGGGUUGUAAAGCCCUUUUGUUGGGAAAGAAAAGCAGCAGGUUAAUACCCCGCUGUUCUGACGGUACCCAAAGAAUAAGCACCGGCUAACUUCGUG